rnacentral:rRNA from 1 species
UACAGAGGUCUCAAGCGUUGUUCGGAUUCAUUGGGCGUAAAGGGUGCGUAGGCGGCGCGGUAAGUCGGGUGUGAAAUCUCGGAGCUUAACCCCGAAACUGCAUUCGAUACUGCCGUGCUUGAGGACUGGAGAGGAGACUGGAAUUUACGGUGUAGCGGUGAAAUGCGUAGAUAUCGUAAGGAAGACCAGUGGCGAAGGCGGGUCUCUGGACAGUUCCUGACGCUGAGGCACGAAGGCCAGGGGAGCAAACGGG